rnacentral:rRNA from 1 species
UACGAAGGGGGCUAGCGUUGCUCGGAAUCACUGGGCGUAAAGGGUGCGUAGGCGGGUCUUUUAAGUCAGGGGUGAAAUCCUGGAGCUCAACUCCAGAACUGCCUUUGAUACUGAGGAUCUUGAGUCCGGAAGAGGAGAGUGGAAUUCCUGGUGUAGCGGUGAAAUGCGCAGAUAUCAGGAAGAACACCCAUGGCGAAAGCAGCUCUCGUGGGACG